GCGUGUUGAACGUAAACAACAUAUCUUGUCUACAACUUUGAGAAGGUACAGAUAACGCUUUCAAAAAUCCUCAGUUCUAGAGAUAUCUCUAUAAAAUCACAAGGAUAUUAAUAUCAAGUCUUUUAGCUAUGUCACUGGCCUGAAAAAUAACUCUUUUAACGCGAUCAAGAUAUUUAAAACAAAAGUAACGCGAAGCCAACGUAACGGCAAAGACAACGCUAAAACGAAAUAUUGUCGAAUGGUUGCAGGUAGAAGACUUACGACAGGAUCAAUCUUAAAUAACCUUAAACUAUAAGAAUAAAUGUUCACAUCAAAGACAAAGAUCAGUCACAAAGUAUAAAAUAUGCCCUGUAAACUUACCGCGAAGUGGAGAAAUGUGUACAUGAGCUGUCUAUUCGAUGAUUUCGACGUAUAUAGAAGCCCUAUAAUACGACGUAUAUAGAAGCCCUAUUUCCAAUAAUACUCGCUUAUCGCACAGUAUAACACCAACUCAUGUAAUAGUUCAAAUGCAAUGAUAAGUUAUCUCUUGAAUUACGUCUUGGAAACCGUGUUGGAAAUUUCAAUGCUGAUCGAUUACAUAUAGAUUACCGUUUUAUAUCUUUGUAUAAAACAUUUUGAUCGCAUGUAAGGAAUUAUUUCUCAUUCCAGAGACAUAGCACAAAGACUUGACAUUAACGUCCUUGUGAUUUUAUAGAGAUAGAUCCAGAACUAAGGAUUUUAGAAGGAAUUAUCUGUACCUUCCCAAAGUUGUAGACAAGAUAUGUUGUUUACGUCCAAC